UUAGUUAUUACUGGUUUUUACCUGAGAGAUUUGGGGGAGUUGUGUUUAUCGCUCAAAUAUCCAAUCUAAAUUUGGUUCUCUUAUAGCAAUGGAUGGAUGACUCACCUCUCAUAGGAAUGAUAGAACUUGGAUCAUCUUGUCAAUCACAGAGCUUGGUGGCCUUCUACAAAUGUUUGUGGAAUGAAUAAGUGAGAGAAUGAGAGAUUAAUAAAGCCAAUACUAUCACCAGUCCAACGAAGAGCUGCAACUGAAAAAAAAGU
rnacentral:lncRNA from 1 species